rnacentral:rRNA from 1 species
GCAAGUCGAGCGGAAACGAUGGUAGCUUGCUAUCAGGCGUCGAGCGGCGGACGGGUGAGUAACGCGUAGGAAUCUACCUAGUAGUGGGGGAUAGCCCAGAGAAAUUUGGAUUAAUACCGCAUACGCCCUACGGGGGAAAGGAGGGGCUCUUCGGACCUUUCGCUAUUGGAUGAGCCUGCGUGAGAUUAGCUAGUUGGUGGGGUAAAGGCUCACCAAGGCGACGAUCUCUAGCUGGUCUGAGAGGAUGAUC